UGCCCAUUUAGCAUUCUUUUUGACUUCUCAGUGUCUUCCAUUUCUAAAAUUGGGAAUUCUUCAAAUUUGUGAGUUGCGCUUACCUCUAACUUUAUAAGCUCCCUUGCAGUUAUGACGUGAGCCUUAAUCUACCCCACCCCACACAUGAGCCUUUUCUCACCCCAGACAUGGAAUUGGAGGCUGGCAGCCCAAGAAGGCAGGGUGCUACAGAAUUCCUUCUGGGAAGAAUGGUGGAUGCUACUUCCAGUUGCCAGUGGCAACGCCCUUUGUCUGGCAACAUGGCAUUGGCAAAUGGCAAUGUCUGUGCUGCCUUACCUUCAGGCCUGUGCUGUCUUCUUGGAAGCAGCUCUGUGGACUACCCAUCUAUUCCUCCUAAGUAUUCAGAAAAGAGCAGAACAUCAAGAGAGAAGGGUGAUUUAUCCUGUGACCAGAGUGCACAGAAUCGACUGGAGAAACUAAUCAAAUCAGACUUGAUAAAGCCGAUGCUGCCUUAUAUCCCCUGUGCCUAGAAGCCUUGUCAAGCUGGUCUGCCAUGGAUCCUGAUUUAAAAUACAAGCUGACUCCUUCACCCCUUCUGAGUAGCAAUCCAGCUGCAUGGAUUUCAGCAAUUGGGUUUUUUUUUUAAUCAUUAUUAUUAACUAUAACGUGAGGCUUGAUGCUAAGUAAUGGCAAAGGGCUGGUGUCUAUCGACACACAGGCACCCAUGGAAUCCCCAGGUAGGGCCGGAUCUGGGCUCUCCAGGGCCCCCUUUUUCUCUCCCUUUCUGCCUCCUCCUCCCCAAAGGCAGGAACAGCUGUUGCCAGGUUGGCUUGUUCAGCCCACUCAUCUCAAGCUACCCUGAAGCGGCAAGACAGCAGGCAGCCAGCCUGAUGUUCUUUCCCCGUUCAGCACAGCCCAGCUGUGGCUCAGUAGGCCAUGUUGGCAUCUGGCUCAGAGAGAGGCAAGGCUGAAAUCUUCUGAGUCUGGAGUUACUGGGUCCAGCUGGCUGUGGCCAUGGCAGAAUAUGAGGGUCAGAGCUACGCUACCCCAGAGGGCAACAAGACAUUUGUUUGGGGCCUGAACCUUUUGAUCUUUUCAGUCGGAGGAUGAAGGCAGUAAAGGUCUGGUGCUCAGAAUGGUUUAAUCCACCAUAGAUUUAAUAAGUGCCGCACCAAGGGUAGAAAGGUGAGGGUGGUGGGGCGAGAGGAUUAAGGACAUGGUUUCUGCAUUUGAAGAGUUCACAGUCAAAUGUGGGAGAUUUUACAUGAACAAGGGAAUAGAACAAAUGGUAAUGUAAACAUAUGCACAGGUUGCCAUGGGAGCUGCUACCUGAGCUGUGUUGUGAAGGAGGAGGAAGAGUCAGAUGAAGCAAGUUAGAGAGGGAGUUGCAGGCAGAGGGGUGUGCACAGAGCAUUAACAGCUGGAAAUCCCAGGGAGGCAGCAUUCGGUGAAGGAGGGACUUGAGAGUCUUGGAAAGGAAACUGAGCUGUGUUUUGCAGGAGUUUGGGAGCCACAGAAGGGUGGUGAAUAAGGAAAUUAUAUGACCAAUUUGCAAAGAUAGAUCCCUCUGGUGCAGGGAUAGGGUGGGUUUAGAGAGUGAGACUGAAGGCAGAUAGAUCCAUUAGGCUUGUGCAAAGAUAUCGGUGCUCCAAGGAACCUUUCUGAUAAGACAGAAAGGAGGGGUGGGUCUCAGAAGAAUUUGGGAGGAAAUAUCAGAAGAACUAGAAGUGCUUGAUGAUGGGCUGAACCUGUGGGGUGGGAUGAUGAAGGAGAGGGAUCUGCCUAGGAAGGCUGCCAGGUUUCUUGCUUGGGUGCUGUGGGUAGAGCUGCAUUUUGCAAAAUAUGUGCCUUGUAACACCAGCUGUGUGGAUGUGUGAAGGUAUUGUGUCAAAAGCAGCUAUACCCUUAGAUAAGUUUGCGAAACAUCAACUUAAACAAAACUAAAUCAGAUCUCUCUGCUGCAGGACUUCUCAGAGCCUUAGUAUGCUGUGGCUGCUGCUAACAAUAAGAACUAUCAUUAUGAGGCAUAUACAGGAGUUCUACUUGUUAUGUGUGCUUUGAGCAAUUUGGAAAGAAGGAAAGUCCCUGGGAAGACUGUUCUGAAACUUGAAAAUAACCUGUGAGCAAAUACACAAAUGUGUACUAAUAAUGUAAUAAUAUGGGUCAUGAAGCAAGAAGUUCCUAGUGCAGGUGAUAUGAGCCAAAGGCAUUGUGGGACAUGGCCAGGUGCAAGACUAAAUAUUUGUUACACACUAUUUUAGGUUCCCAUAACAACACUGUGGGGUAUGUGUUCCAUGGCUAUUUUGCACGUGGGGAAAUUGGGGGUCAUAAAGAUAAAUUAACUAACCAAAGAUUACCACACAUCUAGCAAGGAGUAGAAUCUCACCCUUAACAAUUCCAUCAUAUCAUUUCCAUGUGCUAAUGAAUAUAGUGAAUCUGCAAGGAAGGGACAAGAUAGCAUAUUAUGUCUCCCAAAAUUCAGUGACCACAGAACCCUGUGUUUAUGGAGCAUCUCACAGGAUUAGUGGUCCUUGGAGUGCAUUUUGUGGGGAAUAAUGCUGUUCACUAAGAUUGGGAGUACAGAUUGAUAAAAAGGAAAUUACAUUUAUACAAAUCAUUGUGGUAGAAGGUUGAAACUUGCCAUAAUAGAAAUACAGCUAACAUGUUACAGAAAUCCAAAACGGGCAGAGAUUAUCUCCAAUAUUGGUGUCCAGGGAAAAUAUCAGUGAAGAUGUUAUUAGCUUCAAGUAACAGAAGACCCAAGUAAACAUGGCUAACCAAAGAAAUUUAUUAAAGCACAUAACAAAACCCAGAGAUAAGACAAUUCCACUGUUGGUUAAUUCGGUGGCUCAACAUCAGCAUCAAGAAUGCAAGACAUUUUCUGUUUCAUUGCUUUGCCAUUUUCAAUAUGUUGGAUUGUCCUCUGAGGCCUAAAGGUGGCCAGAAUUGUUCUAGAUGUCAGCUGCAGACAGCAGCACUGACAUGAGUAUUAAGACUGCACAUGGGCCUCUCACUGGGCUCUCAGCAAAGUGGUUGAAGAGGGGGGUAUUGAGGGAUGUUACUAAGAAAACAUCUCUUUCUAUGCCAAGAAAAGAGUGACACUUCCUGCUAAAAGCAUUUCAAACAUUUCUUGAGGCCAUUCCCACACACAGAUUGAACUGGGCCGAGUGAACACAGACACAGGGCACUUACUUUGGUGAAGAGGGACGAGCAGCCAGGAGAAAGCAGGCAGCCAGGUCUCAGCUGAGCACACUGGAGGAAAGCCAAACCUGUGUGAUGGCUGUCCUGGAUGCUGAUUGAGUCAGCACACCAUGAUGACUGAUAACCUCAAAAUAAGGGCCAUCCAUCCAGCACAAGGCAUGUCCUCUGCAAAUGGCACAGGCCAGGAGUACUGUGGGGCCAGAGACACAGAGAUGAUGAAGUUUAUUGUCAGUUCCCUAGUGGGCUAUGUGAUAGACUGUCCCAGGCCUCAGCCAGGAGGUGCGCUAAGAGUGUGCAUUCAGCCAAUUCUCAAAAACCCUACUGUUAUCCUCAUAACUGGGUGAUCAGAACACGUUAGGCCUUUUUAUUUAGAGGACUCUGCACUAGGUGAGACCUAUCUUUGGCUCAGAUUGAUUCUAAGAAUCAAAGUGAACAGAAUUUAAGAAUUCUGUCCUAUGAAGGCUCAUUUCUGAAUUACAAAAGCACUAGGUAAGCUGUAAGCCCCCAUGCGAAUGGUGUCCCCUAUUGUUAGGAAACAUAUUAAAUGGGUUCUUGGCAUGACUUUGGAGGAAAAGAAAAGGGAGGGGAAGGGAUAGGAAAGGGAAGGGAGGAAAACACAAAAGGGAGACUGAAAAUAAAGAAAAUGUAGAGGUGCCUGGGUGGCUCA
rnacentral:lncRNA from 1 species